rnacentral:rRNA from 1 species
CCUACGGGGGGCUGCAGUGGGGAAUAUUGGACAAUGGGGGGAACCCUGAUCCAGCCAUGCCGCGUGUGUGAAGAAGGCCCUCGGGUUGUAAAGCACUUUCAGUGAGGAAGAACGCCUGGUGGUUAAUACCCAUCAGGAAAGACAUCACUCACAGAAGAAGCACCGGCUAACUCCGUGCCAGCAGCCGCGGUAAUACGGAGGGUGCGAGCGUUAAUCGGAAUUACUGGGCGUAAAGCGCGCGUAGGUGGCUUGAUAAGCCGGUUGUGAAAGCCCCGGGCUCAACCUGGGAACGGCAUCCGGAACUGUCAAGCUAGAGUGCAGGAGAGGAAGGUAGAAUUCCCGGUGUAGCGGUGAAAUGCGUAGAGAUCGGGAGGAAUACCAGUGGCGAAGGCGGCCUUCUGGACUGACACUGUCACUGAGGUGCGAAAGCGUGGGUAGCAAACAGGAUUAGAUACCCCAGUAGUC